ACGGAAGGCAGCAGCUAAGAAUAUUCCGCAAUGGACGAAAGUCUGACGGAGCGACGCCGCGUGGAUGAUGAAGGUCGGAAGAUUGUAAAAUCCUUUUAUGACUGAGGAAUAAGUAAGGUGAGAGAAACGCCUUAUGGUGACUGUAGGUCAUGAAUAAGCAACGGCUAAUUACGUGCCAGCAGCCGCGGUAACACGUAAGUUGCGAGCGUUGUUCGGAAUUAUUGGGCGUAAAGGGCAUGUAGGCGGUUUUGCAAGCUUGGUGUGAAAUCUCGGAGCUCAACUCCGAAAUUGCGUUGAGAACUGCAUGACUAGAGUCACUGAGGGGCAAUCAGAAUUCCUGGUGUAGGGGUGAAAUCUGUAGAUAUCAGGAAGAAUACCAAUGGCGAAGGCAGGUUACCAGCAGAUGACUGACGCUGAGGUGCGAAGGUGCGGGGAGCAAACAGGAUUAGAUACCCUGGUA
rnacentral:rRNA from 1 species